UGAAAAUUUUAAUUUUUUUUAUUUUUCAAAAUUUGAAAUCUUAUCCCCAAAACCUCAUUUCUAAACUCUAAACCCUAAACCCUAAACCCUAAACCCUAAACCAUAAACCAUAAACCCUAAACCCUAAACCCUAAACUCUAAACCAUAAACCCUAAACUCAAAACUCUAAUCCAUAAACCCUAAACUCUAAACCCUAAACCCUAAAAUCUAAACCCUAAACCUUAAACCCUAAACCUUAAAUCCUAAACCCCACCCUUUAACUCUAAACCCUAAAUUUGUGACUUUUGAUAAAACAUUAAGUGCUAUUUUUGUGACUUUUGAACUUGAGUACUAGUUUGGGAACAAAAACUUGAUUUAGUGCUAUUUUUGUCUUUUUAUCUAUAAGGAUUAAUGUCAGCUAAUUAAUUAAUUUAUACUAAUAUGUAGAUCUGCAAAACCUACUCAUGUUCAUAGCAUUUCAGUUUCGUAGUAUAUAUAGCUUCAUAGCCUGCAAGAGCCUUUUCAGAAACCCUAAACUAUUAUUGUUUAAUAAAAAAAAGAUACUUCCAAAGAUUAUGAGCUUUGGUCAUAAAUUUUUUUUAGUUGAAGAACAACAAAUAUAUUUUUUUUAGUCGAAGAACCUGACUACCUGAGUAAUGAUAUUUUUUGUUCAAGAAGCUAAAAGCUUGCCCUUAAAAUGGAACAAUCACAGAAGUUAACACAAUCACAGAAGUUAACAAUAUAGAUACAAUAAAUAAAGCAUAGAUUUAAUCCUUAAAAAAAUAAAAGAGAGAAAGGGUUUUGCCUCAAUAAUCACCAACAAGAGAAACUCACUUGGAUUACAGGUGUCAACUGUUCAAGCUCACUGUCUGUCGGACAACAAUGGCUGCGAAGAUGGUAAAAAUGAAAUUUCCUUCGGAUUCUUUUCAUGAGCUUUUUUCUCUCAGUCUUUGGUAUGAUUCUUCUAUAACUCAGAUCUCCUCAUCAUAAGCGUAGUGGUAUAAGAAGAAGAUACACAGAUCUGAAAUAUUUAAAUCAAAAGGGUCAUUUAAUAUAGCAUCAAGUAUUCGUUUUCAGGGGAGUUUGUGGUGAGGGUUUAUAAUAUUUUUCUUCUUUUUCCAGGGAAAAUCAGCCAAGAAAGUGAAAGAAAAAUGGCGAAAAUGGGAAUCGGAGGGAGAUGCUAGAGAGAGAAAGUAUUAUUUACCUGUUUGAGGAAAAUAUCCACAGUAGCCUUCGGACAAGGAAUACAAGUGCACUGUUCGGACCAUUUAGUACUUUCGUUAUGCUGUUUUCUCUCUUUUACCCUUCUUUAAUUUUUGGUUUUACAAAUCUGCCAUUCAUAGUCCACAACUAAUCCAAUUAUGAAGUCUCCGUAGUAUUAAUCCGUCAGCACUGGUGAAUAUAGGGUAUGACCCAGUUACCGGAGACAAGAGGAACCGUUAGAAAAUAAUACAGAUGAAUAAAAUUGUAGUAAUAAAAAUGAAUAGUUAUUUCAUGUCAUAUUUAAUAAUGAAUAAUUUUAUUCUUUAUUUCUCUAAAAAAAAGAAAUGGUAGGGAAUAAGAAAGAAAAAUUAUUCUUUAUGAAUUGUGACUUUUGUUAGGAAUGUUAAUGAAUGCAUUAUUCUUCGUCGUUUAUUGGUCACUAUUCAUACCCAUAGAUUUUUUAAAAAUAAAUUAAAUAUUUUAAAAUAUUGAUUAUUUUCAAAUAUGUGUUAAAAUGUCUCAAACAAAAUAAGAUUAUUUUCUCUCUUUCUUUAUUUCUUUACUUCAUUCCUAUUAUAUAUUCAUGAGAAACCUGUUCAAAUAAUAAAUCAAUGUCCAUGUCCUAAGAAUCUAAGCACAUAGGUACAUAUUCUUUGUUUGUGUAUCUGUAGAUGAAAUACAAAUAAGAUUAAGGCAAGUGCAUAUAAUUUAUUAGGAAAAAUCUUUAAAGGGUAAUUAGUAUUUACACUAUAUUUGCUACAUGUAAUGUUUAAACAAAUGUAUAUCGGUGUUUCAAAAAAAAAUGUAUAUCUACCCACUUAGAUCAGAGAUUGAUAUCUCCAUCACAUGUUUUUGAGUUUAUGUACAAGUCAAAACGAAGAAUGUCCAAACAUUCAAAGUCAAUUCGAAUUACUUAGCGUGGGGAUAAAACAAACAAAAUAGAAAAGCUAUAUAUAAUAAGCAAAUACUAAGUCGCUCAAACUAAUCUGAAGGUGUGGAAAACGCUGACCUAACCAAUAUGUGGGAUUGGCAUUAUCAGCUUCGAACAAUCUAUAUGAAAAGUCACUGACAAAUUCAUGGUGCUCAAAUAUACAGCUGUAACAGUUCAUAUCCGACACUAGCGCUAGCUUCCAGUUUUAAAUGUAAGGGAGAAAGGAACCUUCCUUAAAUUAUGGCUCCAUGAGGUACAUCGAUAUACUUUAAUCAUUGAUGCAAAUAUUUAGUCUAAAUUCGUUAAAGGAUUGUUAUCUAUUCAACAACCAUACUUGCAUCAUGUUUCAUGCUGAUUUAAAAUCAAUAGUGAAAAAGGCCCUGUCGAGGGGUUUAAUUAAGUGGACACAUGAUCUUCAGAUAAGGCAUAACUCUUAUCAUUUUCCUCUUUUCAGAUAAAUUUGAUUCGAUAAAACUAUGUUUUCUCCCUUACGCAUGGAUUCUUUUGAACUGUAGUCGCUAUAUAACCAAUCCAAGUUCAAGUAUGCCGAAUCCACAUUAAACAAUUUGAUGCUCGAACCACUUAAAUAAAAACAAACCAAACCAAUAGUUACAUCUCACACGACAACCCCACUUGGACUAACUAACCAAAUAGAUUCCCUAAAUGGGAAUUGUUACGUUCUCUAUAAUCAGAUGUCUUUAAUGAUAUGAAUAUUCCAGAGUUGCAUUAAUAUUUGUGUGGCUUCAAUUAUAAAAUGGUUUUUAAGAAGACCAAUGCAAAAAGAAGGUGAUAUUUGGGUUUCGGUGGUAACAGUGCUUAACGACGGGCUCGAGACUGUGAGGCACCAGGCACGUGUCGCUGUCUAAAGGCAUUUAUUGAUGCACAUUCAGAAUAUUUUGUUUCACAUCGAAUUUCACCAUUUUGUUGCCAAAAUACAUAGUUACUCCUAGGCCUGGGCAAAAUAACCGGAACCGAAGAAUCGAACCGGAACCAAACCGAAAUACCCGAAACCGAAACCGGACUAAUACCCUCAAAUACCCGAACGGUUUCUAUAUUUUUAUAUCCGAAAUAACCGAACCGAACCGAGAACCGAACGGGUAUCCGAAUAUAUAAAAAUAUUAAUUAUAUAUACAUAUAACAUCACUAAAUAUAUAUUUUUAAUUUAAAAUUCUAUUAAAAGUACCUGAAAAUAAUUGAGGAUAACUAAAUUAUUAUAAAGUAUCCAAACUACCCGAAAGUAUCCAAACUAUCCAGAUAGUUUUAUCCGAAAUAUCCAAAGUAAUCCGAAAUAUCCAAAUUUUUUAUCUAAAUCAUCCUAAUUAUUUGAUAUUUUACUCUAAAUAACCGAUAUUUUAUCCAAAUUAUCCGAACUACCCGAACUAUCCGAACCCGAACCGGAUCCAAAUGAGAACCGAACUUUCUCCGGAUAUUUUCCGGUUCCUACAUUUACUAUCCGAACCGAACCGAACCCGAAACUAUCCGAACCGAACCGAACCGAAAAUAGGUCAAGUACUAAAUGGAUCCUCUAGCCCCUAUCCGAACUACCCAAAACCCGAAAUACCCGAACCGAACCGAACCGAUACCCGAAAUGCCCAGGCCUAGUUACUCCAAUGUAUCUCUUGAAUCUUAAAUGUAUUUUCGAAUGUUUAUUAUAUUAUACAUAAUUGGUUUGUUUUUCCGAGUUAAGAAAUGCACAAUGGACUUACAACCUCAGUAGCAGUUUAGUUGGCCGUAUUUGAAUUGAUUUAAUAUUAGAAAAUUUCUAAUGCAAAAAGAGCAAAAUACCAUUUGGAAUUACCUACCUUUCAACUUUUAAGUAAAUUUUUGUUAUCUGCAUAUAAUCUUGUAGUUGUCAGCUUCAUCCUCAACAGCUCAAAAGACAAGAUUUUAUUUAAAAUUAUUUAUUUUAAGUUAAAUAACCUGGAAUGUACCAAUGACCAUAGGAGUUCUUCACCAUUAAUUGACAAUAGUUAAAAGAGAGGUUGUGUAAUGUAAUUGGUUUUUAUCAAAAUGAUUUUGGUGACACUUCACUGUUAUGGUAAGAGAUAGCUUUUAGGAUCUUCCUCCAAUAGUUUGACUCAUAAAAGUAUUUUUAUGGAUUUUUCAAAAAAAAUAAAAAAAAAAGAAGUAUUUUUAUGGUAGAGAGAGGAUCACGUAUCUGUCACUAUCAAGUUUCAAAUACAAAGUUACAAGUCUAAUGUGAUUUCCUAUUUAUAUUACUAAUGAAAUAUGUAAAGAGUUCUCUUAUGCAGUUUGGUUUCCUUUCUCAACGGGCUGUGAUCUUUUCUUCCAGAACUUGAAAUGAAGAGAUCUUCCCUCAAGCAUCUUCUCAAUCUCCUCCAUUGGCAUUCCUUUUGUCUCCGGAACACACACCACAACAAAGAGAAGAGCAAUGACUGAGAUCACUCCAAACAUGAGAAAAGUCCAAGAAGUCCCAAUAGCUUCAGUCAGGGAAAGAAACGAUUGAGCCACGAUUAAAUUCGAUAUCCAAUUUGCAGUUGCAGCUAUUCCUCCACAGAUUCCUCUGAAUCUCAAUGGAUAAAUCUCUGAGUUAACUAUCCAUGGAACAGUCCCCAUCCCCGGAGAGAAGAAAAUGAUAUAAAGUCCCAAUCCAAGAAGAGCAAACCAACCAAAAUUACUAGGACAUCCUCUUGUGUACCAAAGACGGUUUUCAUUAUGACAUAAGUCCUUAACAGAAUCAUUAGAGACCCAACAAGCCCCAGGAUGUUCCUGCAUUCAUCAUACAAAACAAGACAUGGAACUCAAAUGUUUUCAAAUUUAAAAAAGAAAACAUUUUGUGUGUUUUGAAGUCUUUACCUUUCCACUGGGAGAUGAACAAAACCCACAAGAAGGAGAAGAAGCUUUCAAACAAGUCAUACAAUCCCAAGUUUGUGCUUUCAAAGAUGAGUUGUAAUCCGGACAAGUAACGUUAUUGAACCUUUGUGUCUCGAGGAAGCUAACCGCAGGAGCAUGAGUAGUCACUUCAUAGAAAACACCAGUUAGUAAUCCAAGAGAGACAAUGACUCCUAAAAGACUAAUGAUCAAAAGCUUUUUCCUUCCGGCUCUAUCGAUGAGGUAAAUGCUAAUGAUGGAACCAAAUGCGUUAAGUCCUGCAGUAACUAGAGACAAGAGAAUAGCUGUUCUGUUUGAGGCAAAACCGGCCAGCUGGAAAAUGGUUGGACUAUAAUACAUAACAGUGUUGAUACCAACGAACUGUUGAAACACUUGGAGACCAACACCAGCUAUUAGUCCUCGUCUAACCGUUUUGGUUUUGCAUAGUUUGAUCAUGUUGAUUUUCUCUGAAGAUCCUUCUUCUAGUAUCUCUGAUUCAACUGAAUCUUUUAGUGCUCUAAUCUCGUGUUCUACAUCUUCUGCUGAGUAUAUUCUUCUCAUGAUUGCUUUAGCCUCUUCUUCUCUUCCCUGUUUUAUAUUAGAAUGAAAAAAUAAAAGUUGUUUAUGAGUAUAUUCUUCUCAUAUAAACCGGACCAAACCGAACCAAAAAUGUAAACUAGAAGUAGGCUUAAAAAGAUUAAAAUAUUUUAGAGAAAUGAUACCAAACAAUCCAUAGUAGAUUUGGUUUUAUAUUUUGCCAUAUUAGUAAGUAUUAUAUUGAGCACGUUCAUAUAUACCUUGCGGUAUAACCAGCGAGGCGAUUCAGGGAGUGUAAACAUUAAGAUGAACUGCAAAAGAGCUGGAACUCCCGCGAUUCCAAGCAUCCACCUCCAUGUUCCCUUCACCUAAAACAAUAAGAGAAACAGAACAUUAACACCUUUAGAAUAAUCCAAAAUGUUAAAUUGUUUAAUAUCACUUACAUCGGUGAAGGCUAAGUUAAUGAGGUAAGACACGAAUUGUCCUCCGGUGAUGAGAAACCCAUUGGUACUGACCAAAGCUCCUCUGAUCUUAGCUGGAGAUGCUUCUGAGAUGUAGAGCGGGGCAGUCAUCGAGGCCAUACCGACCCCAAGGCCCACAAAAACACGACCAACGACAAUGAGGGACGGGUUAGGAGCAACAGCCAUAACGAUAGCUCCUAUUAGGAAGAGGAAAUCCGCCAUGAGAAUGGCGCUUCUCCUCCCGAAUUUGUCAUUGGCCCAACCUCCGAUGGCGGCUCCAACGAUGGCUCCAGCAACCGCCAUGCUCACUAUCAUUUCCUGUUUUUCAUAAAAUUGAUUUGGAGCUUAGUGUAUGUCUGUAACGUUUGGGUAGUUAGUUACGUGAUUCUUAACUGUAAAUACAAAAAAACGGCAUGCGCAAAACAGAGUUGAAACUCUUAAUGAUCUGCUUGUAUUUAUGCUUGUCCGAAAUUUCUGAAAACCUUUUCCUAAGCUUUUGUAAAGGACUUCAUAAUGAUUAGACCUAAAGUUAUUAAGGUUUCUUUAAUUUGACACUAUGGUCUCUGUGUUGUUUUGGGAUGACAAAUACAAUUUAAUUACCACAUCAAUCUUGUUGAAAUAGUUCCUAGAAAAUAGUCAUAACUCAACACACUUUUUUUGUAAAUUCUAACUAUAAAACAAACAUAUAAGAACCUGUAACCAAGUUUCUCGGUCAACAGUCUUGAAAUCUUCUUUGAUAUAAAGCAGAGCUCCUGAUAUAACUCCUGCAUGUAUAUAUAAAUCCCAUCAAACUUGAGCCACACGUGUAUAUAGAUGAGUGAAACUGCAGAUAACAGAUUAAGAAACUUGCCGGUAUCGUAGCCAAAGAGAAGACCACCGAUUCCUGCGGAGAAAGCAAGACGAAGAACAUAAGGGUUCUUCCAUGUUAGAGAAAAACAUUCUCUGAAAGCUGAUUUAUCUGCUCCUCCAUGUAUUCCUCCUUCCAUUCUUUUUUAUUUUGUGUGUGUAAGUUUUAGUUUAAAGUGUUAGAUGAAGGAGACUGAACAACAAAUAUAAACUUAUAAAGAGUGUGAGUUUCUCUGCUGUGGUCUGUUUUUUUUUUUUUGUAUUUUUAUUUGUGCUGAUAAAGUGAGAGAAUGAUAAGUGGUUAUUAUUCAAUGGAGAAUUGAUAUGGUACAAGACACUCUUGCUAGAAAAAUCCAGUUGACUUGUCCAAAUUUUCUUCUAUAACUCAUUUGUUUGCUUUUUUUUCUUUCUCAUUUCUAUUCUCAUUUCUAUUGUAUUUACUUAUACUUUGUUGUAUUUAUUUACCUUUUGAAGCAUUUGCAUAUUUUCUUUAAAUAUACAUAAUUAUUAUAACAUUUUUUCCUUCUAACAAAACAUAAAUGAUUGAAUCAAUUAACAAUGGUUGGGUUGCAUGUUUUGAUUAGUUUGUUGUUAGUAACCAACAUUUGGUCAAAGAUCAUUGUCAUCCUGAUUAGACAAAAAUAACACGGAAAAGGAUAUGCUGGACUAUUGAAGAGUGUACAUGAUUAGUCAUUUGUAUAAGUAUAAAUAUUUAAGAACUUUGAAAAUUUAGAUUAUCUAAGCUUAAUCAUGCAUGCUUAUAAUUUUAAAAGUAAGUUAUCAAGAGUAUUUAAAUCAAAUGGGUGAUUUGACGGCCCGAUUUGGAAGACAAACUAUGAUCACAUGCUUGUAUACCAUGAUUUAUUACUAUCUAGUGAAGAUAUGAAAAUUUAUAUCAGAGAGGAAUACGAUGCAAGUCUACACAACAUAGCUGCGUAAUUUGACAACUGACAUCAUAAUAUCAUAUUAUUUCCCGAAUAUUAUAAUGUCACUAAUCAAGACUUUUCUUUGUUUACUUGUGUAUCGGUCAUGUAAUAAUCAUGUUUGAAAAAGGACAUACGAGACCACUAGUCGUCUACACCACGUAAGAAUUUUCUGCAUUGGAAUAUAUUCCCUGAAUGUAGUUUAGUCUAAACUUUCUUUUAUUUAUACCUUUUUAUUGAUAAAGGUUUUUUUCUUUCUAAAGAAUAUGAAUUGUCCUUUGAAAUAAUGGGGAAUUAAUUCGACAAGCAAAAGACAGCCUUUGUAAUUAUUUUUCUUGAUACAAAAGUUGAUACAUUAAUUUCAGUUUAUGAAUAACUAUUGGAGUAUUUUCUUCUUGUUUACUUGGAAGAAUAUAAGCAAGAAGAAAAUAUGUUAUAUGAUUAAAAUAAUAAUAAAAAUAAUAAUUGAUAAUUGAGAGAAAAUAAAAUCAUUAAAUGAAAACUGAGAAAUUUUAUGAUUCUUUUUGAGACACUUGUCAAUCAGACAUUGGUUUAAUUCUUUGAAAAUUUAACAUAUAAAAUUAAUUAUGUUAAAAUACAUUUUUUGUUUGAGAAACUCUUUCUAAUUAUCAUUGAUAGAGAUGCUCUUAGAUCAUAAUUAUCGUUUUAUGGUUUUUUAGGAAACCUUUUUUAAUUUUUUUAAUUUUUUAAUUUUUUUGUCUGGAAAAAAAAUUCAAAUUGAACUAAUCGCGGACCGUCAUGUGUCAGUGGAAUCCGCGAACAGUGCAAGAAACACACCAAAAUCGAUCCUUAUUUCAUUACUUCUAUAACUGAUUCUUACUCUUUUUGUAGGGUCCACGCCAUUAGAAACCCACUAUCCACCCGCGAUAAUGGUGGUGGCCUUAUGUAGUUUAUGUCCAUUAAUUUUCAUCUAAAGAUUUUAUAUCACAGAAGCGACAAAAUACUACCGUGACCAAAACUGGCGACAUGAAAACAAACAUUUAAGAAAAAGUAAACAUAUGAGUAUAUCUAAAAAGGCCUCACAGAGAGGUAUUAAUUGGGCCCAACAUAAGCCCAAUACUAGAAAACCUAGAGGCGUUAUAUACAUUCCAGCAUCCCUCGUCCGCCUCACUCAAUCUUCUUCAAGUCCUCCCUUGCAACUCAGGUAUGCUCCUCUUCUUCGAUUUUCAUCGUUAUAGUUGUUAUUGCGACUACUGUUUGGUUUGUUUGAUCGCAAAGUAUAUAUCUUUCUAUUAGUAUUUGACUGGAAAUUCAAAAUUUACGUAUUUAUUAAACAUAACCUUGUUGAAUCACGAAACCUAGACCAAUGCGCCAUGUCUUGUCUGCUUCCUGUUCUGAGCUAAUGUCUUAAUGAAUCUCCGUUUCGUGUUUUUUUUCCCAACAUUAAGUUUCCUGUUCUGAUCUGUUCGGAUCUGCUUUAUAUUCAGUGAAAAAAGACUCGAGCUUUAGAAAAGCAAUGGCUGCUUUCCCAAACCUUAACUCCGAUUCUGGAUUGAAGAAGCUUGAUGAGCAUCUCCUCACUCGCAGUUACAUCACUGGGUAAGAUUCUGUGAACUCUUCUAACAAGAUUAGAUCCUAAAGUUUCUACCUUUGUUCGAAGCUAUGAGACUAACAGUUUGUGUUUGUGUUACAGGUACCAGGCUUCGAAGGAUGACAUCACUGUCUUUACUGCUCUUGCCAAGCCCCCAUCUUCACAGUAUGUCAACGCUUCUCGUUGGUACAACCACAUCGAUGCCCUCCUGAGGAUCUCGUAAGCUUCGUCAUUGGUUCCCACUUCGUUAUGGUUUGUUGUUGUUUGGAGUCAUCUAAUGUUUGCUUCCGUGUUUUGUAGUGGUGUCACUGCUGAAGGAAGCGGUGUCGUUGUUGAGGGAUCAGCCCCAGUCGCUGAAGAGGCUGUUGCUACUCCACCAGCAGCUGACUCUAAGGUACUUUCAGAUUGUUUUUAUUCUUUAUCUCAUUUUGCCUCUUGUGAUUGUGAAUCAGCGAGCCUCAUGGGAAAAUUUAAUUGUAGGAUGCUGCUGAUGAGGAAGAUGAUGAUGAUGUUGACCUCUUCGGAGAAGAGACCGAAGAGGAGAAGAAAGCUGCUGAAGAGAGAGCUGCUUCCGUGAAGGCUUCUACAAAGAAGAAGGAAUGUAAGUUUGAUGUUUUGUCUUUACAUUUGUUAAUUACAUAUGCUGAUAUGUCUUGUGUUCUAACUGGCUUGUGUUUUUUCUUUAUCAGCUGGAAAGUCAUCAGUUUUGAUUGACAUCAAGCCAUGGGAUGAUGAGACCGACAUGAAGAAGCUUGAGGAAGCUGUGAGAUCCAUCCAGAUGGAAGGAUUAUUCUGGGGAGCGUCAAAGCUUGUCCCAGUCGGUUAUGGUAUCAAGAAGUUGCAGAUUAUGUGCACAAUUGUUGAUGACCUUGUGUCUGUUGACACCAUGAUUGAAGAGCAGCUCACUGUCGAACCCAUCAAUGAGUUCGUCCAGAGCUGUGACAUUGUUGCCUUCAACAAAAUCUGUGAGCGUCAUUAAUUGAUUCUCAACUUUUUUGAUACUAUAUAACUUUUGUAUGUAACUGACUCCUUUUGUUGGGGUCUUUUUUGAAAAUGCAGGAGGAUGGAGUCAAGAGAGCUCGAGGAUGGUCUUUUGUGUGUUUCUCUCUAUUUUGAUUAUUUGAGUUUCCUAUGUUUUUGAUUUGUGAUAUCUGAAUAAUUCUGAUGCUUAUGCCAUACAGUGUUUUCUUUAUAUCUCAAAUAUGAGUUAAAUUUACCAAACGUCUCAUUAAAUUAUCUUUGAGGAGUGGUUUGAACAUAGAAAAGCCUCUAAAGGCUUCCAGAAAAGAAGUACAGAAACAAGCUAAUUCUUAAGGUCUCUGAUGCCUCUGACAUGAAAGGCAUUAGGCUAGAAACGAUCGUCUCCUGUAGAAUUUCUCCCGAGAGUUUGUUCUCAGGCAAGUUAUCUGAUAACUUGGAUAAGGAUUACAUCAACCUGACAACCUUGUUUAUAUAGCCAAGGACUAAAACCUAGAAAGAAGCUUGACCUGUCUCAAGCGCACGUGCGAGAGGACAACCAUGAUCAUCGGGUUGAGAUAUCAGAGCAUGGACCCUGUUUCGAACGGAUAGUACGGACUUUCAAAAUUUAGCAAUGCCUUGUGCCACAAGAAAUUUUUAGUUCAUUGCUUCUGUCGUGAUCCAAACUUAGAAAUAGUAGGUGAGAGCAUACGCUGAUGUUACAUCCUUCAAGAGAAGGUCUUCAUGUUCUUUGGAAAGUCAUCAGUGUCUGGAUUUAGACUCGCUCCUCGUAGGUGUUCAAGUGUUGCUUAAAGUUGAAUAUGUUCAGAGUUGUGACAUUGUUGCCUUCAACAAGAUCUGAGUUUCCCAAAUUUGUGUAUCCGUUAGUUUUGAUUUUUAAGUAAACAACUACAAUCCAGUAUUAGCUUAAAUUUCAACUUUCCACCAAAUCUCAAAUAUAAAUCAAAUUUACUAUACUAGAUAAUAUUGAUUUGUUUUAUGAAAAUAUCAAAAUUGUUAAAACCAUAUAUGUUAACAACAUCAAGAUGAUAAAACUACAACUUCAGAAACAAAAAAGAUACUGUUAAGACAGAUUUGUGAGUUCUUUUUUUGACUUGCAUUAAGAUUCAAUAUCAGAAUCAGAAGAAAGAUAAUCAUCCGCCUUAAGACUUGGAAUAGAAUCAUCAUCAGAUUCACCUAAGGACUCAUGCUUCUUACCAACUGCUGCUUCCUCCAUCAAACUAUCCUGACCCUCUAAACCCUCUCCCUCAUGAGUCUCAAUCACUACUUCUUUGGGAACCAUAUCAUCAUCUCUCUCUGAAACAUGCCCUAGAGAUUCCUUAGUUGAUUCAGGAACCUUUAUAAGCACAUCAGCUUGUUGAACAUUCUCUGAUCCAACCAAAUCGUUCCCAACUUUCAAUCUUUUGGCCUCUGGGAGAGGUAGAGUCGUAUCUAUGCUUCUCUGAAUCUCGCUGUUAGCUGGAACAUCCACGUUUGCCAGCCAUAAGUUGGAUAGAACACUGCUAUCUCCAGCAAUACGGUCCAUCUUAUUCAGACCAAGUGCGUUAUGUUUUUGGCUAGCCAGAGAAUUGCUUCCAGGGAAUUGGCUGCUCAGUGAUGGGAGACCGUCAAGUGGAAGUGCCCUCGGAUGAAUGACAACUUCAAGAGACAUGAGAGCGUGAGCACAGAACUCGGCAACUUUCAUCUCCGCCUGACACUUACCUGUUCGCCGUCCACAGUAUAUGCAUCAGUUUCUUGGCUUUAAAAGCUUAUAGUUUAAUUCAAAGCCAACAGUCUUUAGUUACCUCUUUGGAACAGCUCAAGUCCUUCAGCUAAAAAUGCAGGACGUACUAGUGAUGGAGAAACGAGAGAUGCCAAAAACGCACGGAGUGCUGCAAGCUUAAACUCAACCAGAUCAGUUGAAGACUUAUUGGGUAAAUGAUGGUAGGUUUCAGCAUUGGCCCAUCUCCCUUCACAAGCAUUUGUUACUGUGGUCAUUAGAAGCUUAUCAACACGUUCUCUCCAGCCAUUAGAUCCCAAUGCACCACCCUGAAAGCCAUAAGAAAAGAAGAAUGUUUGAUUCAGGUAACUAACUCAACAAACCACAGAGUCUAACUUCAUACUAAACUAUCAACAGUAAUACGUUAAAAAGAAGCUUACGAUGGUGAGAAGAGUUUCUAGUGCCUCAAGAGCUGCUAUCUUCAACGAGUGAUUGUGAGGGACGCCCACUUCAACAGCAGAGUUCUCUGCCUCGGCUCCGGAAUUAGAUGCAUGCUUCCUUUUUUUACUGCCACCCUUAAGAACAGCAGCAUUUGUAAGCGAUGGGGUUUUGCUAGAUACGGCAUCAAAUCCUUCAAGAUCCACAGAGGCAUUAGAUACAGCUUCAUUUGCCAGUUGCAUUGCCAUUCCUGGUCAGAGAACUAAUGUUAUAGCACAGAAAAGGAUCUUUAUUUUCAUCACCUCAAGCUGAGAAAUGAAAAAUGCAAAACAAAGGGGAAGAUCUUGCGAAAAGUUACCUACACCCAUGGAUUUGAGCAAGGUUUUAGUGAUUGAGUAGAGCUUUAUCCUCAGUUCCGGCAAUGAACAUUUCUUGAAGUAACUACUAACAACUCUCACCACAGAUGCAGCAUAUGGUAAAAGUUGGCUGCAAAAUUGAAUCAACACAAGGAUGUUGUUUAGUACCAUAGAAACGUGUAGUAACAAUCCAUUAUUUGCAAAUAAAAGUCAGCGUAAAACUGCUUUCAACCAAGACAUAAACUACUAAAGGUUUACCUGCGUAUGCACUUAAUAGUAGCGCGCAAGAGUUCAAGAGCCGAAGAAUGCAAAGUAGGAAGCUCUGCACAAACCAAUUCUUGUUGGAUCCCUGUCAUGAAAGGUGACAUGGAUCGUGGUAGAGAGCCGUUCACCGCCAGCACUCGCUCUACUAGGGAUAAUAAUGAGGCAACUGGAACAUUAAGCUGAAAGGUUGAAAGAAAGAAAGAAUAUCAGCAUCUUCCAGGACCAAAUUGCAUUUUUUGGAUAGCACACAUCAAGAGAGAAGUAAGCUCACACUACCUUGGAUUUGUAAGAGCUAGUUAGCAUUGUUGAGCUGCAGAACAUAAGUGCAGAAACUCUGGAAACAAUCAACUGCUCAGAGUUCCACGAUGCAUCAUCCAAAGCCCCAUCUUGACCUCCCAAAGGCAAAGGAGAGUCUUUUCCAGGAGGAGCCAAUCGUUGGAUCGCUUUUUUCCCUACUGUUUCUGUGAUAAAUGCCACAGUGUUCUAUCAGAGAAACUAUAUAGCCAAAGACAAAAAAAAAGGAACAAGGGAAGUAAGAAAAUUACCAUCUUCUAAACCUUGGAAAAAAUUAUUUAAAUGCACGUUUAUAGCUAUCAACAGCUUCUGCAUCAUCAAGGACCAGCUGCCUGCAUCGCCUUUAUUAGCUUUUGGGAGUAAUGCUAGAAAGUGAGCAAAUUUCUGAAAGGUUGAGAUAGAAAAGUGGGCGUCGUUAAUAUAACAAUAUUUACUUUGUUGAUGGAAAUUGUGAAUUAGUGAAUGCAUAAAACGGUGAAUACCUUUAACAUAUUAGAACUGGUUUUCGCAGAAAAUAUUUUGGAGGCAAUAAUGGCUUCAACCUGCAAGGAAUAUCGUUUCAAAUAGACUCUAACAAAACAGCGCUACAAUAACAAAUCACCAGAUAGAAAAGAAAAACAUUUGAGAAGUGAAGAGAGCUGACCUUGUCAUAACUAUUGUGGAAGGCAGCAGGAAACAAGAUAACAAUUGUACUUAGCAGAUGGACAAUGCUUUCCUGCAUACCCAAUAGCAAUAAAAAAAAAACUCAAAUUGAGGAUUCUAGCAAUGACAUGAACAGAACUAAUGUUUGCUAAAAAGAGAAACUUCAAGGCCUUCUCAAAUAUGAAACUUACCCAUAGUGCUUCUGAAGAUUCUUCCUCCAAUAGUUUAAUAAUCGGCAAGACUACUUUCGAAGCGUGUGAAACUGCUUCUUUCUUUGUAUUAGUGAAUCUAGACAGCCUGAUUCCAAUUAAAAAAACAGCUUAGAUUUACAAAAAAAAAACCCAAAGGGUUAACGUAGAGUAGAACACACACACAAGAAAAAAACAAAUAUAAAAAUGGUAUAACAAUCUGAUCUACACAGCAUUUCCAGUGUAAAUGAUGACAAGACAUAAUUCAAUUACAGACCUGGUAAGGAGAUCAGAGACUGAAGUACAUGAAGCCACUAGAACAAUUCUAGAACUUUCUGGAUUCUGCUUUCAAACAAAAUACAAAAAGUCAGAAUAACUGAAUACAAACACUCAAAUCUCACCACAGAGCAAGCCAUAUAGCCAUAUAUACCUUGAUAUGCGAUAGUAAACAGUUGAACCAAACAGAGUAUGAGCUAAAGAAACGAUCAGAGCUGCACUCUCGGCAAGUUACUCCAAUCAAAACGACACCCACCCAGCAUUUAUCUGGCUACAUCAAUAAACCAUACAUUUUAAACACCAAAGUCGACACCUUUCCUCUUUUUUAACUUUUUACUAUUUAAAGACAGAGUCUCUGUCUGUACCAUGUCUGAAGAAACCAGAGCCAACAACCUCUCGACCCAAUCAUCAACGGCUGAUUUGGAAGGCUUGGCUUGAAGCUUCUUCUGGUCAGCUGAAGACGACGGAGACUCGGAUAACAGCUUGUGGGUGGCGAUGGUCGAUACGACCUUGGCGAGUGAUUGAAAGUCGACGAGAGGCUGCUUCUCGUUCGGAACGUACUCGGAGAGAAGGUUUCUGAGAAUCUUGGGCUUCAGUCUCAGGUCGCACAUGUCGUCGAAACGCUCAAAAGACGCCAUUGAAGCAGACAGAAUCCAGAGAGAGAGAGAGAGAGAGAGAGAGAGAGAGAGAGAGAGAGAGAGAGAGAGAGAGAGAGAGAGAGAGAGAGAGAGAGAGAGAGAGAGAGAGAGAGAGAGAGAGAGAGAGAGAGAGAGAGAGAGAGAGAGAGAGAGAGAGAGAGAGAGAGAGAGAGAGAGAGAGAGAGAGAGAGAGAGAGAUUUAGGGUUUUAGAAACGAAGCUUAAAUUUGCAGUUCGGCAACCCAACUCUAAUAAAUUUGCAAAAUAGAACUAAAUAUUAUUAUAACUACAAAACAGCUCCUAAGUAAGGUUAACUAAGCCCAAAAACGUUACAAGUUUAAAACGUUAUGUAAACAGAAACUAAAAGUUUGGUCCUGAUGACAUAUACACAUGAAACCUUGGGGAACCGGUAAGAGAAAAAUGUCAGGGGUUUUGUGGAUUCUGUGAUUUCAGUCAAAAACAUUAUUUUGCCAACAUAAUAGACCUUAUAAAUAGCUUAUGGGCUGCAUGAAAAGGGAUGAAGCCCAAGUUACAAGGGUUUUGUUGUAUAACAUACAUUUUUGGUGGUGGCCGUUUAAAACGUACAUUUGGCCCUCUCUAUACUGACUUGAGACUUUGAGAGGGAUACAGGUCUUACUUAGUACGCAACCAUACAAUCAUGACCAUAUAUAUAUAUAUAUAUAUAUAUAUAUAUAUUAUAGUGUGUGAGUUUGAUUGGUAUCCCACCUGAAUAGUAGAAUUGCCAACUAACAAAGUAAUGAAAUUAAUAGAACUAGGAAUAUCAGAACUAAUAAAAUUUUAAAGGUUCAAAAGCUAUUAUUGUUCAUCCAAGUUUAUAAACUUUUGAUAAGCAAAUUAAUAAAUACAUUUUUUAUUUCAUUAAUAAUCAUACAAAUUAAUAGAAACAAAAACAUAUAUAAGAUUUUCCGCAUUAAUAUGCAAAUAGAACCGUUAACAGUUCAAAGUGGUCCAUUUAUGUAAAUAAACAUAAAAUAAAUAUAAUUAUUUUAAUGUUUUUCGUAAUUUUUAAUAGCGCUAGCUUUAAAAAGGUAAAUUAUCGAUUAUUUUUCCCGAAUAACUUAAGCAUGCAACUAGUAACUUAUAAAUAAAAUUUUGUAAUCAGGAAAAAUGUUAAUGCACCCAAUUUUUUUAAAGUAUUUAGGCUGCAUAUACACACAAAAAAACCAAUAUUAGUUAACUACUCUAACACUAUUUUUGACACUAUUAACAUUUUCAUAAUCCUAUAUUAUCCCUGCCCAAACUAUCACUUUUUUUUUCUUUUGUAUCUCCAUAACUUCUCAUUUCCAAAUGGUUUCUUCUUUCUCUAUUUUUCUCUCCCUUUCAUAUCUCUUUAGAUUCUCUAAUAUAAUUUAUAUUUUUUCACUUGUAUAAUGAAUUCUUCUUGUUUUUUUUCUAUUUUUACAGAUGCAAUUAGUUUUCAGUUAUGUAUAUUUCAUUUUACACAAUGCUUGGAUUUAAUGAGUGUCAAUUCACGUGCUGAUCAAGCACAUAUCUGUAUGGAUGGGCCAUAUAUUCAGAAGAGUGGGGUGUCCUCGACAUCGAUUAAAAAACAUAAAUUUAACAUUUCAGUUGCAAGUAUAUGUAGUUGCUAUUAAAAAACUUAAUUGAUAAAUAUUUGAUUAAAUUCUACAAAUUAAGUAUUGUGGACAGAUAAAUGUUUGCUUAUCUGUUACAAAAAAUGUUGAAGCUUUUUAAAAUGGUUUGUAAGAUGUUAAUAAAUAGCUGAUGUUGGCUGUUACAUAGUUUGUUAGAUGGUACAAAAUUGAUUACCGAUCUAAUGAGUCAUAUAACAUAGUGCUUCAAAUAUUAGCAGUUACAUUUUAUAUAAUUUGGUUACAUUUUAUAUAAUAUGUUGUCAUUAGCCGAUACAUGUUCGAUUAGCUGCUACAAAACAUGCUAUCGUUUUUCAAAUUAGUUUAUAAGAUGUUAAAAAUAACUACCGAUUAACUGAUAUAGAUUUUGUUUGAUGGUACAAAAUAGGUUAUCGGGUUAACUUAAUCAUUAACUAUUCAACUGAUAUCUUCUUAACGGUUAACAAUUAUUGUAUUAUAUUUAAAUGAAAAAUUAUAUUUGACACUAUGGUAUAUACUAUGGUAUAUAAGGUAAAUAAUUUUUUUUUUCAACCCAUAAUUGGGCAUCGUAAAAGUACAUCAACGGCGUUCCGGCGAAACAGAUCCUAGGUUACAAGUGCUUAACUAAGUAUAAGGUAAAUAACAUAUUAGAUUGAUGUCAUUGUUUUUGUUAUUAGAUAAUUAUAUUUUCUCUUAAACAAGUUAUCUACCAGCAAUUCUUAUAAUAUUUUAUGAUGCAUCUUAGCAUCAAACAUCCAUUGUUAACGUACUAAUUAAUAAUUUAAUGUGUUUCUUUUUUUUUCUCGUGUUUUCUCUCCCCUAAAAUAGUUGCAGAUAAAUGUUGAGUUGGUAAAAUCAUGUAACCAAUUGUAAUUUUUGGAAGGUUUGGGUUUCUUUUCGUCUGUAAUUCACAUGUAUAUAUGUAGCAUCCAACAUCAACGUAAUUAGUGUCGGAAACAUAAUGUAUAAUUGGUGCCAGAAACAUAGUGGGCAUUAUAUAAGAAACUUGAUAACACGAUUGACAAUGGAUUUGAGAAGAAGCUUUUUAUUUUAACAAAAAAUAUUAUCAUGAGAGAAUGCAUUGUCAAGAAAAGGAAAACAAAAUAAAUGAAAGAGAUAGAGAAAUUUGGGAAGAAAGAGAGAGGAAAAUCUAGGAAGAAAAAGAAAGAAGAAGAAUGUUUCGGGCAAGGCAGAGGCAAAUACAGAAGCAAGCGUAGGGACAAAACAGUCAGGUUAAGCAUUUUUUGCUACAGCGAUCCAGUUUGUUAGGGUAGUUACUUAAUUUUGGCUAUAUUCAGCAAAUUACCUCUUUUUUUAAUUUGGUUUUAAACUGAAACCAAUAAAUACACUUUUGACAGUAAGAUAUUCUAAAAAAGUAUCUCACAAAUAUAAUAUUAUACAAAUGUUAUGAAUAUCUUAUGCAAAUAUUUUAAAUAAUAUUUUGAAAAUUAUAAAAUAAAAAGAACAAUAUACAAAUUGUAUAGUUGAGAAACUCUAGCAAAAAUAACUCAUGAGAUACUCUAUCAAUCUAUAUAUUUUUAUUUUUAUUUUAUUAGUUUUUGAAAUACUCCUCUACAUACUUUUUUUUUUUGGUAACUCUGGUAUCUGGACAGCCACAUUCCCAACUAUCCCCGUAGGGGGUCCAGCGUCCCAACGGAAGAGAUGUUAAAUCCGUUGUGGCCGAGACUCGAACCCGGAUGGCGGGCAGUACAGUUGUACCUCCUUUACCACCAAGCCACAAACGCUUGGUUCUCCUCCUCUACAUACUUGUGUUACCUGCACUAGAUGUAUUCUUAUAUAAGAAAAUUGAACCAAUCAUGAAUGUAGAAAUUGCAUAAGAGUUUUUGAUGAUUAAAACCCGAAAAUUAAUCGGCUCUCAUUUUCUCUCAUGUGUGAGAUAUCCCGUUGGACAUGUUUGGAAUAAUUUUCAAAUUAAUGGUUGGCAAUUUGGCAUAAUUAUAUUCCAGUGGAAACUGUAAAAGCGGAGAAAGUUGAUUCAACUUCUAUUAAAACAUAGCACCAUGCACUAUCGAACAUCAGACAUCACUAACUUGAUUAUUACAAGAAAAGUAAAAAAAAAACACCAUAAUUGCUUUGUGGUGAAAAAACAUCCAGGGCACUUGCAGCUUCCGUAUAACAGAAAAUAAACUUCUGUAAAAACAAAGCAUCGACCAUAACUGACAUCAGAUAUUACUAACUUGACUAGUACAAGAAAAAAAACACCAUUCUUCAGUCGGUUUGUAGUGAAAAUAAUCAAGGGCACUUGCAGCUUCCGUAUAACAUGAAAGAGACUUGUUUAUUGGCCAUCAAGAAACAGGAGGUCGACGGAAAUACCGGAAGAGUAUCCCUCGCAGCGACAGUGCUAGGAUGAUCUUCUUCCGGUGCGGUAUCUUCUUCAAUAAUCAUUUCGAGGGUUGUGGUAGAGAUGAGGCGGCGUGCUCGUGAGGCCGUAGCACGGUGAGGGGUCACGGCAGAGAAUGGAGUCAGAGGUUUAGGUGCCAGAUUCUGCUGGUCUGGUCGGAAGACGAAAAUGGUAUUUUGGGUAUCAGCCAUUUUUAUCAAUGGGUUUUGUGUUCCUUGUGGAGUUAGGGCUUAGAAGUGGAACUUUUUUGCGUUUGGAUGUUGUAUUGUUGAAUUGGAAGAUGGAUAACUCUAUGUUUAUAUAGGAGUUGCAUGGACCAUAUUAUCCUCAAUUAUUUGUUUCAAAAUGGUAUAUUUGACGGAUGUAUAUUAGAGCGUUAUAGCGGUUAGUAUAAUAAUAAAUUAAUAAUGAAGCAGAGAAAAAACGUUUAUCUAAAUAUUUUUUUGCAUAAUAAUAUAAAACAUUAAACUACUAUUUAAUAGUUAUAUACUAGAUUAAAUUAUGGUUUUUUUUUGAGAAAGGGUUUUCUAGAUCAAAUUAUGUUAAUAUUCUACUUUGUAAAUGUCAUAAAAUAAUUGGAUAAAGAAUAUAUUUGCUUUGAGUAAGAUUGAAUUCAAUCCGAAGGACAAGAAAAAAAGACAGCAGUAACAACUUUAUGAAUUAAAUGCAAGUUUUGGACAGUAACAACUUUAUGAAUUAAAUGCAAGUUUUGGACAUAAUCAAAGAGUUUUCAAAACUCAGCUAGCUUCUUCAUUCUUCUUUCUUCCAAAAUCCAAAACCUAAAUAGCGAUAGUCUAUCAUUUUUAGAUAAGAUGUCAUUCUUGCUGCUCCUACGUACUUGCUGCAACGUGUUUACAUUUAUCGCUUUUAUGUACCCUUUGUGAUUUUUUUUUUUUUAAACACAUAUACCCUUUGUGAUUAAAAAAUAUAUUUCUAAUUCAUUUAAGGGCAAAUCUCCAAAAUAGCAUCUUUCUAAGUUUAUAUCACAAAAAUAGCACUCAAAAACUAAAAUGACCAAAAUAGCACCUUUCUAAGUUUAUCAUUUGAAAAUUUUAAUUUUUUUAUUUUUCAAAAUUUAAAAUCUUAUCCCCAAAACCUCAUUUCUCAACUCUAAACCCUAAACCCUAAACUCUAAACCCUAAACCAUAAACUCUAAACCCUAAACCAUAAACCCUAAACUCUAAACCCUAAACCCUAAACCCUAAAAUCUAAACCCUAAACCCUAAACCCUAAACCCUAAAAUCUAAACCCUAAACCCUAAAAUCUAAACCCUAAACCUUAAACUCUAAACCCUAAACCCUAAACCCUAAAUCCUAAACUCCACCCUUUAACUCUAAACCCUAAGUUUGUGACUUUUGAUAAAACAUUAAGUGCUAUUUUUGUGACUUUUGACCUUGAAUACUAGUUUGGGAACAAAAACUUGAUUUAGUGCUAUUUUUAUCUUUUUCUCUUCAUUUAAAGGCAAAUCUCCAAAAUAACACAUUUCUAAGUUUAUAUCACAAAAAUAGCACUCAAAAACUAAAAUGACCAAAAUAGCACAUUUCUAAGUUUAUCCAUUGAAAAUUUUAAUUUUUUUAUUUUUCAAAAUUUGAAAUCUUAUCCCCAAAACCUCAUUUCUCAACUCUAAACCCUAAACCCUAAACUCUAAACCCUAAACCCUAAACCCUAAACCCUAAAACCUAAACCAUAAACUCUAAACCCUAAACCCUAAACUCUAAACCCUAAACUCUAAACCCUAAACCCUAAACCCUAAAUUCUAA
rnacentral:lncRNA from 1 species